rnacentral:rRNA from 1 species
GUAGCACAAUCACUUGUCCCCUAAAUGAGGACGCGUAUGAAAGGCAACAUGAGAGAAGACCUGUCUCCUAAGGACUGCCAAUGAAAUUGAACUGCCAGUUCAAAAGCUGGUAUUUUUAAGCAAGACAAAAAGACCCUGUGGAACUUUAAUGAACUGUCUUAAAAAAAAGACAGUAAUUUCAGUUGGGACAACUUUAGAAAAAAUAAACUUCCUAAUCUACCAAGACUAACAAGUCAAAACCUACUAUAUGACCCAGUAGUACUGAUUAACGAAAUAAGCUACCCCAGGGAUAACAGCGCCACCUUCUCAAAGAGUUCAUAUCAACAAGAAGACCUACGACCUCGAUGUUGGAUCAGGGUACCCAGACGGUGCAGCAGCUGUCAACGGUUCGUUUGUUCAACGAUUAAUACCCU